rnacentral:rRNA from 1 species
UACGUAGGGGGCGAGCGUUGUCCGGAGUACUGGGCGUAAAGCGCACGCAGGCGGUCUGCUAAGUUUGGAGUGACAGUUGGUGGCUUAACUGCCAAAGUGCUUCGAAAACUGACAGACUUGAGGGCUUCAGAGGGACACGGAAUUCCGGGUGGAGUGGUGAAAUGCGUAGAGAUGUGGAGGAAUACCGAUGGCGAAGGCAGCCCCCUGGGAUAACACUGACGCUCAUGCACGAAAGCGUGGGGAGCGAACAGG